GGGGGUGUAGCUCAUAUGGUAGAGCAUUCGCUUUGCAUGCGAAAGGCACGGGGUUUGAUUUCCCUCAUAUCCA
rnacentral:tRNA from 1 species